AUUGAACGCUGGCGGCGUGCCUAACACAUGCAAGUCGAGCGGUAACGCGGGAGCAAUCCUGGCGACGAGCGGCGAACGGGUGAGUAACGCUUCGGAAUCUACCCAGUAGUGGGGAAUAACCAACCGAAAGGUUGGCUAAUGCCGCAUACGACCUGAGGGUGAAAGGGGGGGAUCGCAAGACCUCUCGCUAUUGGAUGAGCCGAAGUCGGAUUAGCUCGUUGGUAGGGUAACGGCCUACCAAGGCGACAAUCCGUAGCUGGUCUGAGAGGACGACCGGCCACACUGGGACUGAGACACGGCCCAGACUCCUACGGGAGGCAGCAGUGGGGAAUAUUGGACAAUGGGGGCAACCCUGAUCCAGCGACGCCGCGUGUGUGAAGAAGGCCUGCGGGUUGUAAAGCACUUUUAGUGGGGAUGAAAAGCUCAGGGCUAAUACCCUUGAGUCUUGACCUAACCCAAAGAAAAAGCACCGGCUAACUCUGUGCCAGCCGCCGCAGUAA
rnacentral:rRNA from 1 species